CCUACGGGUGGCAGCAGUGGGGAAUAUUGCACAAUGGGGGAAACCCUGAUGCAGCGACGCCGCGUGAAGGAAGAAGUAUUUCGGUAUGUAAACUUCUAUCAGCAGGGAAGAAAAUGACGGUACCUGACUAAGAAGCUCCGUCUAACUACGUGCCAGGAGCCGCGGUAAUACGUAGGGGGCAAGCGUUAUCCGGAUUUACUGGGUGUAAAGGGAGCGUAGGCGGCGAUGCAAGUCAGAAGUGAAAGUCCGGGGCUCAACUCCGGGACUGCUUUUGAAACUGUGUUGCUAGAUUGCAGGAGAGGUAAGUGGAAUUCCUAGUGUAGCGGUGAAAUGCGUAGAUAUUAGGAGGAACACCAGUGGCGAAGGCGGUCUGCUGGACAGCAACUGACGCUGAGGCGCGAAAGCGUGGGGAGCAAACAGGAUUAGAUACCCCAGUAGUC
rnacentral:rRNA from 1 species